ACUCCUACGGGAGGCAGCAGUGAGGAAUAUUGGUCAAUGGAGGGAACUCUGAACCAGCCAUCCCGCGUGUAGGAAGACGGCCUUAUGGGUUGUAAACUACUUUUAUACAGGAAGAAACGUACCCUCGUGAGGGUGCCUGACGGUACUGUAGGAAUAAGCACCGGCUAACUCCGUGCCAGCAGCCGCGGUAAUACGGAGGGGUGCGAGCGUUAUCCGGAUUUAUUGGGGUUUAAAGGGUCCGUAGGCGGAUUAAUAAGUCAGUGGUGAAAUCCCAUAGCUUAACGAUGGAACUGCCAUUGAUACUGUUAGUCUUGAAUGAGGGUGCAGUGGUUGGAAUGUGUAGUGUAGCGGUGAAAUGCAUAGAUAUUACACAGAACACCGAUUGCGAAGGCAGAUCACUAACCCUAAAUUGACGCUGAGGGACGAAAGCGUGGGGAGCGAACAGGAUUAGAUACCCUGGUAGGCUAGCG
rnacentral:rRNA from 1 species